GCAGCGUGGAGGAGGAGAAAGUGGCUGAGCUGCUGGUCGGAUUAAAAGUAACCGGACUCGUCCUGAGAGCGUCCAGGAAGGAAGUGACAGCAGGCGAAUGGGAAAAGCCGAGCAGCUCACAGCCUUUGUAACAUCGCGGAGGGGAAGGGGGAGGCAAGGAAGGGAUUCAAACUACACGCCUGACGAGACUUUUCCCCUACAAACAUCUCAUUGGGCUACUGACCUACUUUGGAAGUUCCACAUUUGACAGUGAAUAAAUGUCUUCUAAAUUCUACUGUACUUCUUAAACCACGGGUGUUCAAAGCAUGGUCAGAGCAAAACAAAGCUCCAGCAAUUGCUCUCAGUUCAGAUCCCUACUGAAUCGCCUAUUUUAUCCACAACAUGAGAUUCUGUGACCUAGGGCAGUAGCACAGAGUUGAAGUCAGGAGGUUUUCGUGAGGACCCAGAAUCUGAGCAGCAUCUAGACAGGACACCUAGAAAGAGGAAACCUUGAUGUGAACACCACCUACGCCAGUGGCAAACGAUGGUCCCUCAUAUUGUUCAUAAGAAGAAAGUGAGGCUUUGGUGCCAUGAAUCCACCCACUGAGAAGAGUCCCACUACUGCAGGAGGACUAUAGCACAGGCAGAAGUACCAGCUUGGCCCCUGGUAACUUCUCCCAUUCCCAGAAGAAAUUCACUCCUUCCUGGGCUAUGCACGUGCAUCAAAGCAGGUUCUGAACUAUUUUUCAGUUUCCACUGAAUGCUAUUUUAUCCUCUGAGAGCUCUGUAAGAUUGGCAUUAUCCUGUAGCAGUAUCACAGCCUGCAGUCAUUUAAUGCCUCUUCUUGUGAGGCCGGGAUUCCACGCCCAAGUGCAUUUAGUAGGU